GUCGAGAAUAAUUCACAAUGGGGGAAACCCUGAUGGUGCAACGCCGCGUGGAGGAUGAAGGUCUUCGGAUUGUAAACUCCUGUCAUCCGGGAGCAAGACCUGGGCGUGAAUAGCGCACAGGUUUGAUAGUACCGGAAGAGGAAGGGACGGCUAACUUCGUGCCAGCAGCCGCGGUAAUACGAAGGGGGCUAGCGUUGCUCGGAAUUACUGGGCGUACAGGGCGCGUAGGCGGCCUGCCUAGUCCGUGGUGAAAGCACAGGGCGCAAGCGUGGAAGUGCCGUUGAUACUGGGUGUCUAGAGUUUGGGAGGGGUGGGGGGAACUCCGGGUGGAGAGGUGAAAUGCGUAGAUAUUAGGAAGAACACCAGUGGCGAAGGCGACUCACUGGCCCAAAACUGACGCUGAGGCGCGAAAGCGUGGGGAGCAAACAGGAUUAGAAACCCGUGUAGUCC
rnacentral:rRNA from 1 species